AUUUGACUCAACACGGGGAAACUCACCAGGUCCAGACAUGACUAGGAUUGACAGAUUGAUAGCUCCUUUCAUGAUUUUAUGGGUGGUGGUGCAUGGCCGUUCUUAGUUGGUGGAGUGAUUUGUCUGGUUAAUUCCGAUAACGAACGAGACCUUAACCUGCUAAAUAGCCAGGCCGGCUUUUGCUGGUCGCCGGCUUCUUAGAGGGACUGUAUGCGUCUAGCAGACGGAAGUUUGAGGCAAUAACAGGUCUGUGAUGCCUUUAGAUGUUCUGGGCCGCACGCGCGCUACACUGACAGAGCCAGCGAGUGUUUUUCCCUUGCCCCGAAAGUUUUUGGUUAUCUUGUGAAACUUUUUCGUGCUGGGGAUAGAGCAUUGCCAAUAUUGCUUUUCAACGAGGAAUACCUAGUAAGCGUGAGUCAUCAGCUCGCG
rnacentral:rRNA from 1 species